UACAGAGGGUGCAAGCGUUGUUCGGAAUUAUUGGGCGUAAAGGGCGCGUAGGCGGACAGUUAAGUCGGGGGUGAAAGCCCGGGGCUCAACCUCGGAAUUGCCUUCGAUACUGGCUGUCUUGAGUGCGGGAGAGGUGUGUGGAACUCCGAGUGUAGAGGUGAAAUUCGUAGAUAUUCGGAAGAACACCAGUGGCGAAGGCGACACACUGGCCCGUUACUGACGCUGAGGCGCGAAAGCGUGGGGAGCAAACAGG
rnacentral:rRNA from 1 species